AAGAAGCACAGCUGAUUCACCCACCAUCACAGGAAGGCAGGCGGCUUUCAAGGGCAUAGAUGCAGACCAUGUGGAAGCUUGGUGGAGGAGUCGGGGGAGUAAAAACGAGGCUGGCAUUCUGGACUUGCAUAGUCGAGAGAGCUACUGGUGUGAGGAAGCUGAUGGAAACCCAGCGCUGGCUUUGCAGAACAAUUUAGAAAUUGAUCUGCAACUGAUGGAAGCUGGGAUGAAUUGGGCGCAUAAGUGAACCCAAAGCAUCAGAGCAAAGUCAAAGCGAACAUCUGGCUCCAGCUUUGAGUACAAGAUUAAUAAAGGAGUCUCUCCAUAUCCUCUCUGUCCACGUUCGUUGUGGACGGGGUCACCAGGAAGAUGGUUCCUGGGUGAUGAGAGUGUCCAGGACAUUGUCUUCGGUGGACUACUGGCACAGGGACCUGAAUAAGACACUGGGAUUUACAAAGUGGAAAAGAAAUCACUGAGGGAUCCCUCAAGCCACUGAAAACAUGUACCAUUUGCCAUAAAACAGCAUUAAACAUUAAGUCAACAGAUUGCACAUGAAUAUCAACAAUCCUGCAAAAAAAGCCAGUCCCUUAAGAAACAUCAAGAUUGACAGUUGUCAUCAGAGAAAUGAUGAGGACCAGGAUCUUCAGGGUACCAUCUGGUGCUGUGUUUGAAGAAAAUGAGAAUGAGAGAUAUUUCCUCAAUAGAUGAAACUAUUGGCCCCAGCUCCAAAUUCACACUUGUUGCAGCAGUUAAUUCUGCAAAAUCACAGAAGGAAAAAAAGUCAGGCCAAGUUACAGUAGUUUCCAGACAGCCACUUCUGUUCCUGUUCCAAAAACUAUGACUAACAUUUGUCUGUCUGGAUGGUAUCAUUAAAU
rnacentral:lncRNA from 1 species